GUCUGCAGACCUGCUAGCUAGGAUCAGUACCAGGUCCCAUUCUGAUGACCUGUUAGCUAGGAUCAGGACCAGGUCUCAGUCUGAAGACCUGUUAGCUAGGAUCAGGACCAGGUCCCAGUCUGCAGACCUGUUAGCUAGGAUCAGUACCAGGUCCCAGUCUGAUGACCUGUUAGCUAGGAUCAGUACCAGGUCCCAGUCUGAAGACCUGUUAGCUAGGACCAGGACCAGGUCCCAGUCUGAAGGCCUGUUAGCUAGGACCAGGACCAGGUCUCAGUCUAGCUAGGAGAACAGGAUAACAUCACUACAUUUGGAGCUAAUCCAGAUCACAUUCUCUGAACUCUGAGCAACAAAAAGAAAGAAAACCAAAAGUCAUCCAAAGAGCGAGUCGUCGAUGAAGGUGACGAUCGGAGGCUCAGCUGCCGUUCUUCUUCGUGUGUUGCGUGUUGAUGGAUCAUGUUGAUGUGAAUUCACCGUCAACUUCUUGAAUAAAGGAAACCAAACCAA